rnacentral:rRNA from 1 species
AUUGAACGCUGGCGGCAUGCUUUACACAUGCAAGUCGAACGGUAACAGGGAGCUUGCUCCGCUGACGAGUGGCGAACGGGUGAGUAAUGUAUCGGAACGUACCUUUUAGUGGGGGAUAACGUAGCGAAAGUUACGCUAAUACCGCAUAUUCUCUGAGGAGGAGAGCAGGGGACCUUCGGGCCUUGCGCUAAUAGAGCGGCUGAUAUCAGAUUUGCUAGUUGGUGAGGUAAUGGCUCACCAAGGCGACGAUCUGUAGCGGGUCCGAGAGGAUGGUCCGCCACACUGGAACUGAGACACGGUCCAGACUCCUACGGGAGGCAGCAGUGGGGGAUUUUGGACAAUGGGGGCAACCCUGAUCCAGCCAUGCCGCGUGAGUGAAGAAGGCCUUCGGGUUGUAAAGCUCUUUCGGCCGGGAAAAAAUCGCAUGGGUUAAUACCCUGUGUGGAUGAUGGUACCGGAAUAAGAAGCACCGGCUAACUACGUGCCAGCCGCCGCCGUAA